AUGGAAUGUGAGAAAGUGGAAGAAAGAGACAGACAGUGCAGUGAAAGGUGACGGUCUGAGGAGGUGGAAGCAUGUGAUGGAGCGAAAGACUACUUUGGAGUGGUACAGGGAAAAGGAAGCCCCGCAGUGUGUCAGCUGGUAUGAUGGAAGCCUGGGUGGUGAUCUUCUCUUCCAAGCUCGAGCGCAGUGUAUGAAUGUGAAUGCAAGAAACUACAGGUGGUCUGAGUCCCGCAGCAAAGUGUGUCAGAUGUGUGACAGGGGUGUGGAUGAAACUGUCGUGCAUGUGAUACUGGUGUGUGGGAGGUACCGGAGAGAAAGGACGGAGAUGAUGAGGGUGGCAAUGAGUGAGAUGGGCUGGGAUGUGAAUGGGAGGAUUGCAAGGACAGAGAGGGAAUGGAUGCUGCUGCUGCUGGGACUGAGUGAUGAAGCAAAUGAUAGAAUUAUAGAAGCCAUGAAGAGUUUUCUGGAAAAGAUGUGGUGUGCAAGAAAUAGGGAAUUGGAAGAUUUGGAAUGGAUGCUGCUGCUGCUUGGACUGAGUGAUGAAGCAAAUGAUAGAAUUAUAGAAGCCAUGAAGAGUUUUCUGGAAAAGAUGUGGUGUGCAAGAAAUAGGGAAUUGGAAGAUUUGUAAUGGAUACUGCUUGUGUUGUUUUAUUUUUACAGGGUGUGCCGAUACGAAGGCCUGACUCUCCAACGGGUCACCUGUACAGCAAGAGCAAGAGUGUGGGCUGGUGUAAACAAAGCCCCGCAUGUGUGUGUGUGUGUGUGUGUGUGUGUGUGUGGCUCGCCUAUUGUCUUUAUUAACAUUCCGACCUGCCCUCCCUCCUGACCCUCACACCUUCCUCAGUGCCGAUGACAGAACGACGAACUGACAACACCCGCUACACUGACGGGGCUGUGGAGGCCCCUAACACACUCCACAAGAGGAAGCAGUACGGUGUUGGGGCUGUGUGGAGACAAAAAGGAAACAGAAAGAAGAAUGGUAAAGUUGGCAAAGGUGUUCCUCGCACAGUGCUGGGAAAAAAGGGCACAAAUGUCUGAAUAAGUGUAGAUAAGUGGCUGUAUUUCAGAUUAGGAAAUAACAUAACACUGAAAAGGAAGGUGUGUGAAUAAGAAGAAGGGAGGAAGGAGAGGAGGACCUAAGAAGCGAUACAAAGCGUUACAGGUCAAAAGAAGAAGAAGAAUCAACAAAGCCAGUCAACAAAAAUCAAGAAUCAAGAAUAAGAAAAAAGUGGGAGGCGUUACAAAGGCAAUCCCACGCCUACUACUGGAUUGGACUGGACUAGACUGGAACAUGCACUGUGAGGCUGUUGUUGUCCUGAGCAGUGGGAGGCAGAAGGAGAAGGAGAGUGUGACGCAUCAGAUUGUCAGGUUUCCGAGCCAGGUCCGCCGCGUACAAGCUCAUCCAACUCAACACCAAGUAUGAAUUCCUACAAAAGUCUCGCGUGUGCAUCGACCUGUGCGCGGCGCCUAGCUCGUGGAUGCAGGUGGCCAAGAAGCACAUGCCGGUGUCGUCCAUCAUCGCGGGUGUGGAUCUCUUCCCCAUCAACCCCAUACCAGGGACACUCUCCAUUGUGGGCGACAUCACCACAGAGAAGGUGCGCCAGGAACUGAAGUCCACGCUCAAGACAUGGAAGGCUGACCUGGUGCUUCAUGAUGUCG